AUUGAACGCUGGCGGCAGGCCUAACACAUGCAAGUCGAACGGUAACAGGAAGAGGCUUGCUUCUUUGCUGACGCGUGGCGGGCGGGUGAGUAAUGUCUGUGAAACUGCCUUAUGGCGGGGGGUAACUACUGGAAACGGUAGCGCAUACCGCAUAACGUCGCAACAGCAAAAAGCAGGACCUUCUCGCCUCUUGCCCUCUGAUGUGCCCAGAUGUGGGAUUAGCUAGUAGGUGGGGUAACGGCCCACCUAGGCGACGAUCCGUAGCUGGUCUGAGAGGAUGACCAGCCACACUGGAACUGAGACACGGUCCAGACUCCUACGGGAGGCAGCAGUGGGGAAUAUUGCACAAAGGGCGCAAGCCUGAUGCAGCCAUGCCGCGUGUAUGAAGAAGGCCUUCGGGUUGUAAAGUACUUUUAGUGGGGAGGAAGGGAGUAAAGUUAAUACCUUUGCGCAUUGACGUUACCCGCAGAAGAAGCACCGGCUAACUCCGUG
rnacentral:rRNA from 1 species